rnacentral:rRNA from 1 species
CUGAUUAUAUUAAAGAGCCGCAGUAUUCUGACUGUGCGAAGGUAGCAUAAUAAAUUGUCUUUUAAAUGGAGGCUUGAAUGAAAGGUUGGACAAAGUAUCAUCUGUUUCUUAAAUAUUUAUUGAAUUUGACUUUCAAGUGAAAAGGCUUGAAUAAAUUAAAAAGACGAUAAGACCUUAUAAAUCUUUACAAUAAACAUGUUCUAUAUUUUAAUUUAUAAGUAUAUAAAAUAUUAAAUUUGUAUUUGUUUCGCUGGGGCGGCGUGGAUAUAUUAAUAAACUGUCUAUGUGUUAAAUCCAAUAAUUAUUGAUUAGUGAGAUUGAUCCUUAAAUAGAUUAAAAGAUUAAGAUACUUUAGGGAUAACAGCGUUAUUUUUUUUGAGAGUUCUUAUCGAAGAAAAAGUUUGCGACCUCGAUGUUGAAUUAAAGUAUCUUUAUGGUGCAGCCGCUAUAAGAGAGAGUCUGUUCGACUUUUAAUACUUUACAUGAUCUGA